rnacentral:rRNA from 1 species
UACGAAGGGGGCAAGCGUUGUUCGGAAUUACUGGGCGUAAAGCGUGCGCAGGCGGCUUCUCAAGUCAGGGGUGAAAGCCCAGAGCUCAACUCUGGAAUUGCCUUUGAGACUGAGUGGCUUGAGUACGGGAGAGGUGAGUGGAAUUCCCAGUGUAGAGGUGAAAUUCGUAGAUAUUGGGAAGAACACCGGUGGCGAAGGCGGCUCACUGGCCCGUAACUGACGCUCAUGCACGACAGCGUGGGGAUCAAACAGG